CAAAACAUAGCUUAAUAUAAAGCAUUCAGCUUACACCUGAAAAAUACCCGCUAGAACAAGGGUUGUUUUGA
rnacentral:tRNA from 1 species